rnacentral:rRNA from 1 species
UACGUAGGGUCCGAGCGUUGUCCGGAAUUACUGGGCGUAAAGAGCUCGUAGGUGGUUUGUCGCGUUGUUCGUGAAAACUCACAGCUCAACUGUGGGCGUGCGGGCGAUACGGGCAGACUAGAGUGCGGUAGGGGAGAUUGGAAUUCCUGGUGUAGCGGUGGAAUGCGCAGAUAUCAGGAGGAACACCGAUGGCGAAGGCAGAUCUCUGGGCCGUUACUGACGCUGAGGAGCGAAAGCGUGGGGGAGCGAAACAGG